GACGAACGCUGGCGGCGUGCUUAACACAUGCAAGUCGAGCGGAAAGGCCCUUUCGGGGGUACUCGAGCGGCGAACGGGUGAGUAACACGUGAGUAACCUGCCUCUGGCUUUGGGAUAACCCUCGGAAACGGGGGCUAAUACCGAAUAUUCAGCGUCGACGGCAUCGUUGGUGUUGGAAAGUUUUUUCGGCUGGGGAUGGGCUCGCGGCCUAUCAGCUUGUUGGUGGGGUAAUGGCCUACCAAGGCGGCGACGGGUAGCCGGCCUGAGAGGGCGACCGGCCACACUGGGACUGAGACACGGCCCAGACUCCUACGGGAGGCAGCAGUGGGGAAUAUUGCACAAUGGGCGGAAGCCUGAUGCAGCGACGCCGCGUGAGGGAUGACGGCCUUCGGGUUGUAAACCUCUUUCGACAGGGACGAAGCGUGAGUGACGGUACCUGGAGAAGAAGCACCGGCCAACUACGUGCCAGCCGCCGCAGUAACAC
rnacentral:rRNA from 1 species